rnacentral:rRNA from 1 species
UAGGGAAUAUUGCAAAAUGGGCGAAAGCCCGAUGCAGCAACGCCGCGUGGGCGAUGAAGGCCUUCGGGUCGUAAAGCCCUUUUUGAGGGGAUGAGGAAGGACAGUACCCUCAGAAUAAGCCUCGGCUAACUACGUGCCAGCAGCCGCGGUAAAACGUAGGGGCGAGCGUUAUCCGGAUUUACUGGGCGUAAAGCGCGUGCAGGCGGAUUGGAGAGUUGGAUGUGAAAGCUCCCGGCUUAACUGGGAGAGGUCGUUCAAUACUUCCAGUCUUGAGUGCAGUAGAGGGAAGUGGAAUUCCGGGUGUAGUGGUGAAAUGCGUAGAUAUCCGGAGGAACACCAGUGGCGAAAGCGGCUUCCUGGACUGUAACUGACGCUCAGACGCGAAAGCUAGGGUAGCAAACG